AGAGUUUGAUCAUGGCUCAGGAUGAACGCUAGCGGCAGGCUUAACACAUGCAAGUCGAGGGGUAUAGGUUUUCGGACCUAGAGACCGGCGCACGGGUGCGUAACGCGUAUGCAAUCUGCCUUUUACAGAGGGAUAGCCCAGAGAAAUUUGGAUUAAUACCUCAUAGUAUAGUACAACCGCAUGGUUGAACUAUUAAAGUCACAACGGUAAAAGAUGAGCAUGCGUCCCAUUAGCUAGUUGGUAAGGUAACGGCUUACCAAGGCAACGAUGGGUAGGGGUCCUGAGAGGGAGAUCCCCCACACUGGUACUGAGACACGGACCAGACUCCUACGGGAGGCAGCAGUGAGGAAUAUUGGUCAAUGGGCGCAAGCCUGAACCAGCCAUGCCGCGUGCAGGAUGAAGCAUCUAUGGUGUGUAAACUGCUUUUGUACGAGAAGAAACACUCCUUCGUGAAGGAGCUUGACGGUAUCGUAAGAAUAAGGACCGGCUAACUCCGUGCCAGCAGCCGCGGUAAUACGGAGGGUCCAAGCGUUAUCCGGAAUCAUUGGGUUUAAAGGGUCCGUAGGCGGUUUUGUAAGUCAGUGGUGAAAGCCCAUCGCUCAACGGUGGAACGGCCAUUGAUACUGCAAGACUUGAAUUAUUGGGAAGCAACUAGAAUAUGUAGUGUAGCGGUGAAAUGCUUAGAGAUUACAUGGAAUACCAAUUGCGAAGGCAGGUUGCUACCAAUAUAUUGACGCUGAUGGACGAAAGCGUGGGGAGCGAACAGGAUUAGAUACCCUAGUAGUCC
rnacentral:rRNA from 1 species